CCCGGACAGGCUUCGUGAAUCCAUCAAUGAGGCUACUGGAGGAGUCCUGGAUGACAUAAGACACUACUCCUUCCAUCGAUCCCUUGCACAAUGACCCAUCAACAUUAAGCUUAAAGGAACCGGCUUUCGGAGCUUGCUAGGCAUCCGGUUUAGUACCAGAAAAAUAAAGUUGUUGCUCUCUUUCCAUACUUGCCAAAGGAGGUUUCUGAUCGUUUCCAAAGACGAGAGGUUGAUUUCCGAGUGGUUCCAUACCCUUGCAGUCCAAGGAUAGAGGAGAUGAGUGUGUAUGACCAUUUCCACCUUAUCUCGGCAAA